rnacentral:rRNA from 1 species
CCUACGGGUGGCAGCAGUGAGGAAUAUUGGUCAAUGGACGAGAGUCUGAACCAGCCAAGUAGCGUGAAGGAUGACUGCCCUAUGGGUUGUAAACUUCUUUUAUAAAGGAAUAAAACGAGGCACGUGUGCCUUUUUGCAUGUACUUUAUGAAUAAGGAUCGGCUAACUCCGUGCCAGCAGCCGCGGUAAUACGGAGGAUCCGAGCGUUAUCCGGAUUUAUUGGGUUUAAAGGGAGCGUAGAUGGGUUGUUAAGUCAGUUGUGAAAGUUUGCGGCUCAACCGGAAAAUUGCAAUUGAUACUGGCAGUCUUGAGUACAGUUGAGGUAGGCGGAAUUCGAGGUGUAGCGGUGAAAUGCUUAGAUAUUACGAAGAACCCCGAUUGCGAAGGCAGCUUACUAAACUGUGACUGACAUUGAUGCUCGAAAGUGUGGGUAGCAAACAGGAUUAGAUACCCGUGUAGUC